rnacentral:snoRNA from 1 species
UUGCGUGGAUGAUAAACUAGUCAACUUGAAUUUCUUCCUCUGACCAAGCCCAUGGAGAAACAAAACACAGAGCUUUUUAAACCUGAGCACA